GUGCCUCAAUCAAUUGAGUAAGGAAAUUAUUGGGCCUUGGUAACUCUAGGCUAUGUCCUAUUGGGCGAUUGUAUUUUUGUAGGGUACAGGUCGUCCCUUUGAGUCGCGGGCCUACUUUGUCCGCGAUUCAGGUGAAGCGAUCUGCCCU